rnacentral:lncRNA from 10 species
GGGAAACAGGGCCACCCCGUUCCCAGGGAGCCCCGCUGUGCGGAGAUCCAGGCACCUUUAAUUCAGCAAGAGGGGCUGAAAAACCCUCCACAUUUUGGAAGAAGGAUCCAAACCCCUGUUUUAGGUAAAGAGAGCCCCCAACGUUUUGGGGGAUGGUCUGAAGGCCGCCAUUUGUAGGGACACAGAGCCCUGGUGUGCAGGUCUGGGCCAGCAGCCCCCAGCUGGAUUGGGGAGCCCACCCCCUCUACUGGUUUCCAGGAACAGCUGGGCCCAGCCUAGGUUGUACUGCUGGGAAGCGGCUGACUCAACCCCUCCCUGUGGCCACAGCUGGACCCCGGCCUGCCCCCUCCAGCGUUCACAUCUGGGCAGGGAUCCAGUCUUCAUCAGGGCUGAGAAGGGGACCCUCAGUCCCACAACUGGAGAACAGUGCCCCUCUGCCACUCCCCUGGCUGACCACAGCCACUGGGUGGACUCCAUGCAUCAUCACCAUGGAGGACUCUGGCAGGCCCCCUACAGCCCAGAUAUUGACAUCCUGCCAGGAACUCCUAGCCAGUCCCCCCUCCCUGUGUCUGUGUGUGUCUGAGUCCAUGUGAAAUGUGCUAGGUUUUUUUGUGUUUUUGAGAGAAAGGGUUUUGCUAUGUUGCCCAGGAUGGUCUCGACCUCCUGACUUCAAGUAAUCCUCCUGCCUCUGCCUCCUAAAGUGCUGGGAUUUCAGGCGUGAGCCACGGCGCCUGGCCAAAUGUGCUGGUCUUUGUAGGUGUGAGAUGGAGGAUCUGUGACUGUGUGUACACGGGCAUGUGUCCUGCAUCCAUUGUGUCAUAAGGCCUUCGAGUUUGUGCAACAGGCUGUGCCUGAUUUGAUGGGGGGGAGGGCUGGUUUCGGGGACUGGGGGAGGGGAAAUUUGUAACAUCCUUGUCGGUAACAUCCUUGUCCGUAACAUCCAGGUUGGGGCCGGGCUUGGUGGCUCGCGCCAGUAAUCCCAGCACUUUGGGAGGUCAAGGCAGACAGAUCACUUGAG